AUUGAACGCUGGCGGCAGGCCUAACACAUGCAAGUCGAGCGGAUGAAGUGAGCUUGCUCCUGGAUUCAGCGGCGGACGGGUGAGUAAUGCCUAGGAAUCUGCCUGGCAGUGGGGGAUAACGUCCGGAAACGGGCGCUAAUACCGCAUACGUCCUGAGGGAGAAAGUGGGUGAUCUUCUGACCUCACGCUAUCAGAUGAGCCUAGGUCGGAUUAGCUUGUUGGUGGGGUAAAGGCCUACCAAGGCGACGAUCCGUAACUGGUCUGAGAGGAUGAUCAGUCACACUGGAAGUGAGACGCGGUACAGACUCCUACGGGAGGCAGCAGAGGGGAAUAUUGGACAAUGGGCGAAAGCAUGAUCCAGCCAUGCCGCGUGUGUGAAGAAGGUCUUCGGAUUGUAAAGCACUUUAAGUUGGGAGGAAGGGCAGUAAGUUAAUACCUUGAUGUUUUGACGUUACCAACAGAAUAAGCACCGGCUAACUUCGUG
rnacentral:rRNA from 1 species